GGCGGCGUGCUUAACACAUGCAAGUCGAGCGUUGAAGUUUCCUUCGGGAAACGGAUUAGCGGCGGACGGGUGAGUAACACGUGGGUAACCUGCCUCAUAGAGUGGAAUAGCCUUCCGAAAGGAAGAUUAAUACCGCAUAACGUUGAAAGAUGGCAUCAUCAUUCAACCAAAGGAGUAAUCCGCUAUGAGAUGGACCCGCGGCGCAUUAGCUAGUUGGUGGGGUAACGGCCUACCAAGGCGACGAUGCGUAGCCGACCUGAGAGGGUGAUCGGCCACAUUGGGACUGAGACACGGCCCAGACUCCUACGGGAGGCAGCAGUGGGGAAUAUUGCACAAUGGGGGGAACCCUGAUGCAGCAACGCCGCGUGAGUGAUGAAGGUUUUCGGAUCGUAAAGCUCUGUCUUUGGGGAAGAUAAUGACGGUACCCAAGGAGGAAGCCACGGCUAACUACGUGCCAGCAGCCGCGGUAAUACGUAGGUGGCGAGCGUUAUCCGGAUUUACUGGGCGUAAAGGGAGCGUAGGCGGAUGAUUAAGUGGGAUGUGAAAUACCCGGGCUCAACUUGGGUGCUGCAUUCCAAACUGGUUAUCUAGAGUGCAGGAGAGGAGAGUGGAAUUCCUAGUGUAGCGGUGAAAUGCGUAGAGAUUAGGAAGAACACCAGUGGCGAAGGCGACUCUCUGGACUGUAACUGACGCUGAGGCUCGAAAGCGUGGGGAGCAAACAGGAUUAGAUACCCUGGUAGUCCACGCCGCAAACGAUGAAUACUAGGUGUGGGGGUUUCAACACCUCCGUGCCGCCGCUAACGCAUUAAGUAUUCCGCCUGGGGAGUACGGUCGCAAGAUUAAAACUCAAAGGAAUUGACGGGGACCCGCACAAGUAGCGGAGCAUGUGGUUUAAUUCGAAGCAACGCGAAGAACCUUACCUACACUUGACAUCCCUUGCAUUACUCUUAAUCGAGGAAAUCCCUUCGGGGACAAGGUGACAGGUGGUGCAUGGUUGUCGUCAGCUCGUGUCGUGAGAUGUUGGGUUAAGUCCCGCAACGAGCGCAACCCUUGUCGUUAGUUACUACCAUUAAGUUGAGGACUCUAGCGAGACUGCCUGGGUUAACCAGGAGGAAGGUGGGGAUGACGUCAAAUCAUCAUGCCCCUUAUGUGUAGGGCUACACACGUGCUACAAUGGCUGGUACAGAGAGAUGCAAUACCGCGAGGUGGAGCCAAACUUAAAAACCAGUCUCAGUUCGGAUUGUAGGCUGAAACUCGCCUACAUGAAGCUGGAGUUACUAGUAAUCGCGAAUCAGAAUGUCGCGGUGAAUACGUUCCCGGGUCUUGUACACACCGCCCGUCACACCAUGAGAGUUGGCAAUACCCGAAGUCCGUGAGCUAACCGCAAGGAGGCAGCGGCCGAAGGUAGGGUCAGCGAUAGG
rnacentral:rRNA from 1 species